AUACGGAGGGUGCAAGCGUUACUCGGAAUCACUGGGCGUAAAGGACGCGUAGGUGGGUUGGCAAGUCAGAUGUGAAAUCCUACAGCUUAACUGUAGAACUGCAUUUGAAACUGCUAACCUAGAGUAUGGGAGGGGGAGAUGGAAUUAGUGGUGUAGGGGUAAAAUCCGUAGAUAUCACUAGGAAUACCGAAAGCGAAGGCGAUCUCCUGGAACAUAACUGACGCUAAGGCGUGAAAGCGUGGGGAGCAAACAGGAUUAGAAACCCUAGUAGUCC
rnacentral:rRNA from 1 species